rnacentral:rRNA from 1 species
CCUACGGGCGACAGCAGUGGGGGAUAUUGGACAAUGGGGGGAACCCUGAUCCAGCGACGCCGCGUGAGUGAAGAAGGAUUUCGGUAUGUAAAGCUCUGUCAGCAGGGAAGAAAGCAAUGACGGUACCGGACCAAGAAGCCACGGCUAACUACGGGCCAGCAGCCGCGGUAAUACGUAGGGGGCAAGCGUUAUCCGGAAUUACUGGGUGUAAAGGGAGCGUAGACGGCUGUGCAAGUCUGGAGUGAAAGGCGGGGGCCCAACCCCCGGACUGCUCUUGAAACUGUAUUGCUGGAGUGCAGGGGAGGUACGCGGAAUUCCUGGUGUAGCGGUGAAAUGCGUAGAUAUUAGGAGGAACACCAGUGGCGAAGGCGGCUUACUGGACUGUAACUGACGUUGAGGCUCGAAAGCGUGGGGAGCAAACAGGAUUAGAUACCCCGGUAGUC